rnacentral:rRNA from 1 species
GAACCUUACCAGGUCUUGACAUACUCGUGCUAUUCCUAGAGAUAGGAAGUUCCUUCGGGACACGGGAUACAGGUGGUGCAUGGUUGUCGUCAGCUCGUGUCGUGAGAUGUUGGGUUAAGUCCGCAACGAGCGCAACCCCUAUUGUUAGUUGCCAUCAUUAAGUUGGGCACUCUAACGAGACUGCCGGUGAUAAACCGGAGGAAGGUGGGGAUGACGUCAAAUCAUCAUGCCCCUUAUGACCUGGGCUACACACGUGCUACAAUGGAUGGUACAACGAGUCGCGAGACAGUGAUGUUUAGCUAAUCUCUUAAAACCAUUCUCAGUUCGGAUUGUAGGCUGCAACUCGCCUACAUGAAGUCGGAAUCGCUAGUAAUCGCGGAUCAGCACGCCGCGGUGAAUACGUUCCCGGGCCUUGUACACACCGCCCGUCACACCACGGGAGUUGGGAGUACCCGAAGUAGGUUGCCUAACCGCAAGGAGGGCGCUUCCUAAGGUAAGACCGAUGACUGGGGUGAAGUCGUAACAAGGUAGGCGUAGCGAG